CCCUAAAAGCUUUAUUUUAAAUAUAUUUUAAAAAUUAAUUGUAAGUAGUAAAUUAAAUAUAAAAAUUAACUGGGGUAGUUGUUUCAAAAAAAUUGAAAUUUUUUCACAGUUUUAAAUAAAUGGUUUAAGUUCUUUUAAAUAAGGAAAAUUAGUGUUAGUUACUUUAGGGAUAACAGCGUUAUAUUUUUGGAGAGAUCUUAUCUAUAAAAAUGAUUGCGACCUCGAUGUUGAAUUAAAAUUACUUUAUAAAGUAGAAU
rnacentral:rRNA from 1 species